GACGAACGCUGGCGGCGUGCCUAACACAUGCAAGUCGAACGGAACUGUUUUGAAAGAUUUCUUCGGAAUGAAUUUGAUUUAGUUUAGUGGCGGACGGGUGAGUAACGCGUGAGUAACCUGCCUUCAAGAGGGGAAUAACAUUCUGAAAAGAAUGCUAAUACCGCAUGACAUAUCGGAACCACAUGGUUUUGAUAUCAAAGAUUUUAUCGCUUGAAGAUGGACUCGCGUCCGAUUAGUUAGUUGGUGAGGUAACGGCUCACCAAGACCGCGAUCGGUAGCCGGACUGAGAGGUUGAACGGCCACAUUGGGACUGAGACACGGCCCAGACUCCUACGGGAGGCAGCAGUGGGGGAUAUUGCGCAAUGGGGGCAACCCUCACGCAGCAACGCCGCGUGAAGGAUGAAGGUUUUCGGAUUGUAAACUUCUUUUAUUAAGGACGAAAAAUGACGGUACUUAAUGAAUAAGCUCCGGCUAACUACGUG
rnacentral:rRNA from 1 species